AGCAAGCAGAGCAGACAUUGUGAAAUUACGGUUUUUCCCUCCAUUCUUUGCUUAAUUGCGGUUUGCUGUUUGGCCUGGGUAUAAAAGGCGCUGAGGUGACAGAAGCGAUCCUCUUUCCCUUUCUUCAUGCUUGGCUAAUCUCUGUGUUUCUGUUGUUGAUAGAGUGAAAGAGAGGGAGAGAAUUACAGAGAAUAGGUGCUGUGAAUUGUGAUCGUGUUUGUUUUCCUUUUAUGGUUUGUUUCGAUGGACGCGACCUUUUUUCUUUCUCCUCGUUUUUGACUCAGCUCUGCAUUCUUGGGAGAGAGUUGCAGAGAAUAGGUUCUGCAUGUUGUGAUCGUGUUUGUUUUCUUUCCAUUUAGGGUUUGUUUGUUCCUUGCACGUCACUGAUUUGGGUUUUUAGUGAUGCAGGAGUUCAUGUUAGUAAUGAGAGGGAAGACGAAGAUUGGAAUUAGAUCGAGGAAAGCAAGAGAGUACUUUCUUUGGCGGUUUUGUUUUGUUGGCGAUUUCGGGUUUGUUGGAAACUCAGGAGCUAUUGGGCUCAUUGUCGCGAUCUUCUGUCUCUCUCUCUCUCUUUCUCUUCGUUUUUGGCGGGUUCUUCACAUGUAGAGGGAUAUAUAUUUUCACACAACAACUGACCUUUAAAAGAUUAGGUAAUCAAGAUACUCUUUUUCGUUUUUAUGAACUAAAGUUUGGCUUCCUAUAUAUAAUGUAAUAAACUCAAAGCUGUUUUUGGCAUUUCAAUUUUGCGAUUUCUGUCGGGUACUUCUAGUAAAAUAACACUAUUGCAGCUGGAAGGCUUGCUGACCGAAGGGAGCACAUCAAGACUUCGGUUAGUAAAUGUUUCCCUUGAUAUAUUAAAUGAAUGACAUGACCAAAUUGAAUUUGGUGCUGCAUAUUCACCUUCUUGCCUUUGCAAUAGUUUACAUUAUUCUUUGGCUAUACAAAAUAUUGUACUUGAUGUAUAGUAAUAAUCCCCCAGAAUCUCCUACACUGCUUUAAUUUUUCAGGUAAAAUGUUGCAUUUGGAAAAGGAAAAAAUGGACUGAAAUAUCAUGUCACUUUUUGUGUAAAUAGAAAUGGAGGCAGCAACUUUUUGGACAACGUCCAUAGCUAAUCAUCACUAGGCUAACAAUCUCUCAGCAACUGAUGUCACUUUUGAUAUAGUCACUAGAUUAGCCUAUAAGUAGAUCACUGUA